CGCCUGGGGAGUGCGGCCGCAAGGCUAAAACUCAAAGGAAUUGACGGGGCCCCGCACAAGCGGCGGAGCAUGCGGAUUAAUUCGAUGCAACGCGUAGAACCUUACCUGGGUUUGACAUGGAUCGGGAGUGCUCAGAGAUGGGUGUGCCUCUUUUGGGGUCGGUUCACAGGUGGUGCAUGGCUGUCGUCAGCUCGUGUCGUGAGAUGUUGGGUUAAGUCCCGCAACGAGCGCAACCCUUGUUCACUGUUGCCAGCACGUUAUGGUGGGGACUCAGUGGAGACCGCCGGGGUCAACUCGGAGGAAGGUGGGGAUGACGUCAAGUCAUCAUGCCCCUUAUGUCCAGGGCUUCA
rnacentral:rRNA from 1 species